CCUACGGGAGGCAGCAGUAGGGAAUCUUCCACAAUGGGCGAAAGCCUGAUGGAGCAACGCCGCGUGGGUGAAGAAGGUCUUCGGAUCGUAAAACCCUGUUGUUAGAGAAGAAAGUGCGUGAGAGUAACUGUUCACGUUUCGACGGUAUCUAACCAGAAAGCCACGGCUAACUACGUGCCAGCAGCCGCGGUAAUACGUAGGUGGCAAGCGUUAUCCGGAUUUAGUGGGCGUAAAGGGAACGCAGGCGGUCUUUUAAGUCUGAUGUGAAAGUCUUCGGCUUAACCGGAGUAGUGCAUUGGAAACUGGGCGACUUGAGUGCAGAAGAGGGGAGUGGAACUCCAUGUGUAGCGGUGAAAUGCGUAGAUAUAAGGAAGAACACCAGUGGCGAAGGCAGCUCUCUGGUCUGUAACUGACGCUGAGGUUCGAAAGCGUGGGUAGCAAACAGGAUUAGAUACCCCGGUAGUC
rnacentral:rRNA from 1 species